rnacentral:rRNA from 1 species
CCUACGGGAGGCAGCAGUGGGGAAUAUUGGACAAUGGGGGAAACCCUGAUCCAGCGACGCCGCGUGUGUGAAGAAGUAUUUCGGUACGUAAAGCUCUAUCAGCAGGAAAGAAAAUGACGGUACGUGACUAAGAAGCUGCGGCUAACUACGUGCCAGCAGCCGCGGUAAUACGUAGGGGGCAAGCGUUAUCCGGAUUUACGGGGUGUAAAGGGAGCGGAGACGGCAGAGCAAGACUGGAGUGAAAUGCCCGGGCCCAACCCCGGAACUGCUCAGGAAACUGUGAGGCUGGAGUGCAGGAGAGGGAGGCGGAAUUCCUGGUGUAGCAGUGAAAUGCGUAGAUAUCAGGAGGAACACCGGCGGCGAAGGCGGCUUACUGGACUGUAACUGACGUUCAGACUCGAAGGCGUGGGGAGCAAACAGGAUUAGAUACCCCAGUAGUC